CGCGCAUGCGUGCGGGGGUAGCCGGCGAUGUAGCCUUCACUCUGGUCGCAGAAUUUCACAAAGCCUCUGAGUUGGUGACUGAGCACAGCCCUCCGAAGAAUGCCCUGAAGAGGAUGAGCAGGAGAGAGCACCGGUUCUCACAUCUCUUGCCUGAGUCACUGCAUUUUUAGAAAAAGUACAGUCAGUGAUAUUGGCCCUUUUCUCAACCUGUGUGUUCAGUGACAUCAUGGAAGUCAGCCUGGCCACAAUGAAGGUAUUAGUGCCCCUACAAAAGAGGCCCCAAAGAGCUGCCUCACCCCUUCUAUCACGUGACGACACAGCAAAAAGACAGCCAUCUAUGAACAAGAAUUGGACACACAACCUGCCAGUGCCUUGAUUUUGGGCUUUC